UACGUAGGGUGCAAGCGUUAAUCGGAAUUACUGGGCGUAAAGCGUGCGCAGGCGGUUCGCUAAGACCGAUGUGAAAUCCCCGGGCUUAACCUGGGAACUGCAUUGGUGACUGGCGGGCUAGAGUAUGGCAGAGGGGGGUAGAAUUCCACGUGUAGCAGUGAAAUGCGUAGAGAUGUGGAGGAAUACCGAUGGCGAAGGCAGCCCCCUGGGCCAAUACGUGACGCUCAUGCACGAAAGCGUGGGGAGCAAACAGG
rnacentral:rRNA from 1 species